rnacentral:rRNA from 1 species
GAUGAACGCUGGCGGCGUGCCUAAUACAUGCAAGUCGAGCGAACAGACGAGGAGCUUGCUCCUCUGACGUUAGCGGCGGACGGGUGAGUAACACGUGGAUAACCUACCUAUCAGACUGGGAUCACUUCGGGAAACCGGAGCUAAUACCGGAUAAUAUAUUGAACCGCAUGGUUCAAUAGUGAAAGACGGUUUUGCUGUCACUUCUAGAUGGAUCCGCGCCGCAUUAGCUAGUUGGUAAGGUAACGGCUUACCAAGGCAACGAUGCGUAGCCGACCUGAGAGGGUGAUCGGCCACACUGGAACUGAGACACGGUCCAGACUCCUACGGGAGGCAGCAGUAGGGAAUCUUCCGCAAUGGGCGAAAGCCUGACGGAGCAACGCCGCGUGAGUGAUGAAGGUCUUCGGAUCGUAAAACUCUGUUAUUAGGGAAGAACAAAUGUGUAAGUAACUAUGCACGUCUUGACGGUACCGAAUCAGAAAGCCACGGCUAACUACGUG